UACAGAGGGUGCAAGCGUUAAUCGGAAUUACUGGGCGUAAAGCGUGCGCAGGCGGUUUUGUAAGUUUGUCGUGAAAUCCCCGGGCUCAACUGGGAAUGGCGAUGAAGACUGCAAGGCUAGAAUCUGGCAGAGGGGGGUAGAAUUCCACGUGUAGCAGUGAAAUGCGUAGAUAUCUGGAGGAACACCGGUGGCGAAGGCGGCAUCCUGGACCAAUACUGACGCUGAGGAGCGAAAGCCAGGGGAGCAAACGGG
rnacentral:rRNA from 1 species